rnacentral:rRNA from 1 species
AUGAACGCUGGCGGCGUGCCUAAUACAUGCCAGUCGAGCGAACAGACGAGGAGCUUGCUCCUCUGACGUUAGCGGCGGACGGGUGAGUAACACGUGGAUAACCUACCUAUAAGACUGGGAUAACUUCGGGAAACCGGAGCUAAUACCGGAUAAUAUAUUGAACCGCAUGGUUCAAUAGUGAAAGACGGUUUUGCUGUCACUUAUAGAUGGAUCCGCGCCGCAUUAGCUAGUUGGUAAGGUAACGGCUUACCAAGGCAACGAUGCGUAGCCGACCUGAGAGGGUGAUCGGCCACACUGGAACUGAGACACGGUCCAGACUCCUACGGGAGGCAGCAGUAGGGAAUCUUCCGCAAUGGGCGAAAGCUUGACGGAGCAACGCCGCGUGAGUGAUGAAGGUCUUCGGAUCGUAAAACUCUGUUAUUAGGGAAGAACAAAUGUGUAAGUAACUAUGCACGUCUUGACGGUACCUAAUCAGAAAGCCGCGGCUAACUACGUG